rnacentral:piRNA from 1 species
CAGCUGUUGCAAUAAGAUGACUGAUUGG